GACGAACGCUGGCGGCGUGCUUAACACAUGCAAGUCGAACGGAAAGGCCCUGCUUGCAGGGUACUCGAGUGGCGAACGGGUGAGUAACACGUGGGUGAUCUGCCCUGCACUUCGGGAUAAGCCUGGGAAACUGGGUCUAAUACCGGAUAGGAGCCAUUUUUAGUGUGAUGGUUGGAAAGUUUUUUCGGUGUAGGAUGAGCUCGCGGCCUAUCAGCUUGUUGGUGGGGUAAUGGCCUACCAAGGCGGCGACGGGUAGCCGGCCUGAGAGGGUGGACGGCCACAUUGGGACUGAGAUACGGCCCAGACUCCUACGGGAGGCAGCAGUGGGGAAUAUUGCACAAUGGGCGCAAGCCUGGUGCAGCGACGCCGCGUGGGGGAUGACGGCCUUCGGGUUGUAAACUCCUUUCGCUAGGGGCGAAGCUUUUUGUGACGGUACCUAGAUAAGAAGCACCGGCUAACUACGUG
rnacentral:rRNA from 1 species